GCAACUCGCCUGCAUGAAGUUGGAAUUGCUAGUAAUCGCGAAUCAGAAUGUCGCGGUGAAUACGUUCCCGGGCCUUGUACACACCGCCCGUCACACCAUGGGAGCCGGGAAUGCCCGAAGUCAGUGGCCCAACCGCAGGGAGGGAGCUGCCGAAGGCAGGCCUGGUGACUGGGGUGAAGUCGUAACAAGGUACC
rnacentral:rRNA from 1 species